CUGGAGUAAGACACUCAUUCCUAAACUAUCCCGGGCAAGUUAUAACUUAAUGAUGACGUAAACUUGUUAUGCAACUAGCAGCCUUUCUAUUUUUUUGUAAAAACAAAGGCCUUUUCAUAGGCCUUGCUUAUGUCCUCAUAUCUGAAUAGGCUGUUAUAUGUGGCAUGUACCUCAACUGGCAAGUCAUUGCGCUGUGCCUCAAGUUAUUUCAAUAUGUACGUACAUUUUUUUAGACAAUUGAUGUUAUGUUAUGUUAGUUACAGUAGUGUCAAUGGUCAGGGAAAGUCAGACGAAACUGAAGCUGACUAUUUUAUUUUUCUAUGGCAAUAUCUCAACAAUUUCGGCAAAUAUUGGUGCAUGCGGUUGGAUCGAGAACGAAUGAAUGAAUGAAUGGUUGACUGUGGCUGGCUGGUUGGCUGACAACAGCCAAAGAAGAGUAUACAAGCAAAGUAAAGUAUGGCAAAAUCUAUACAACACUACGACCUUGCAAUGCCCUUGAAUGACACUGUUGUGUGCGCAAAGCAGAGCAGAGAAGCGCAAAAUAAUACCGAACACAACAACAAUUUACAAUUUAGUGAGCAGAACAGAGGGAGAAUUGAACAGCCAAAACAGAGCCCGAAUACAGAAAGAACAUUGUGCGGCGGCAAAUUCCCAAUACGGGCCACCGUAAAACAUUUGUAUGGCGGGCGGCUACCAGACUCAUACGAACGUGCGGCCAAAAAUAUUCGGUGGUGUAUGACAACAAUUAUUACAAGAACAAUUCGACGAAACAAGCAAAAAUUGUAAUCACAUAAAGAAAAGAAAUCAAGUUUUCAUUUAUUUUUCUGAAUUAGAAAAUUCGCGAAUUACAUCCUCUGCAAACUGAAAGGUAAAACCCCUAAUUUGUCCGUAAAGCGCAAAAAUUUGUCCUUUAAAAAGCCCUUAGAAGAGAAGUGAAAAGAGAACAAGAUAAAAAAGUACAACAAGAAGUUGAAUGACAUUGGGGAAGAGACAUCGUCGGCGGCAAGUCUAAAGCACGCACAUAACGAAUUUCCCAACACCACCCACGCAUACGCUCAUUAAUCCCAUACACGCACCCACCACAUUACGGUCUGGUAGUGCUGCUGUAGCUACUUCUUCUUCUUCUUCAAUUGAUUAACCGAACGCGUGUGUUAUUAACGACUGAAGCAACAACACUCGAUAAUAAUAAUAAUUCUUCAUUAACAGAGAGGGAGAGAAAACACUUUAAAAAAAUCACAACAAAAAUAUUUUGUGCUGGUCAUCCUAGUGCUAAGGGAAAGUGUGUCACAUACACCGAAAGGACAUCAAAGGUUGUCCAGGUUCUGAGAGAAGAGAAAGAGCACCAUAUCUCAACUCGCCUUCAAAUAGGAGAGCCAUCAUCGUUGCCGCUGUCAUCUGGCAAAGAGCGCGUGUACGCGCAUAAUUUGUUUAAGAAUUAACACAA
rnacentral:sRNA from 14 species